rnacentral:rRNA from 1 species
GACGAACGCNGGCGGCGUGCUUAACACAUGCAAGUCGAACGAAGAGCGAUGGAAGCUUGCUUCUAUCAAUCUUAGUGGCGAACGGGUGAGUAACGCGUAAUCAACCUGCCCUUCAGAGGGGGACAACAGUUGGAAACGACUGCUAAUACCGCAUACGAUCUAAACUCGGCAUCGAGGAUAGAUGAAAGGUGGCCUCUACAUGUAAGCUAUCACUGAAGGAGGGGACUGCGUCUGAUUAGCUAGUUGGAGGGGUAACGGCCCACCAAGGCGAUGAUCAGUAGCCGGUCUGAGAGGAUGAACGGCCACAUUGGGACUGAGACACGGCCCAGACUCCUACGGGAGGCAGCAGUGGGGAAUCUUCCGCAAUGGACGAAAGUCUGACGGAGCAACGCCGCGUGAGUGAUGACGGCCUUCGGGUUGUAAAGCUCUGUUAAUCGGGACGAAAGGCCUUCUUGCGAAUAGNGAGAAGGAUGA